UCUAUCGAUCUUUUCUCUCAAACUCAGCGUACAAAACAAAACUCCAAUCUCCAGUUUCCCAUUUUCUCUGUCUCAACUCUCAUGUUCACUCUCUCUCUGGGUCUCUCCCAUCCCCAUCUCUCGCUCGGUCUCUCUCUCAGUAAUUUCUUUAAGCUUGUUUUGUAGGUACUUGCUAAAAAAAACGAAAAUGUCGGACUGAGAAGUCUCUAAAAAAUAUACACCAUCAUUGGCAUAUGGAAAGUCAGAAAGAUUACUCACGCAAAUAGUUCACUCCAACAAUUGGCUUCUCCCUUUCAAAUUUUCAAUGACCAGGUAUUGAUUUUUGCCUAGAGAAAUAGUUUUCCACUGCCAAAGUAUAGCCUUCUUUUUCAUUUCUUCUAAGCCAGCUGGUCUGAUGAAACUAAUCCGUGUUGACUAUGGCUAGCAGCAAAAAAUACAAGGAGCCCCCACCUUUUUGGAUGUAAUUAUAUGCUCUCAUUAUCAAACAAAAAACAAUAAUUGAGAAUUUAAGAUAAAGGCUACAAAAUAGUACAUUUGCGCACAAAGAAAAUACAAAAUAGUCCGUUUUCCUGGUCUGGGAUGGCAGCCUCUCCUUGUUCUAAACUUUUUGUAAAAAAAAAAAGAAAGAAAAGAAACUCCAAAUAUCAUAGUUUUUUUUUUUUUCUUUUACCGAACAGUAAUUAGAUACGUUAUGAUCGAAUAUCAACACAUGAACAAUGUAUAAUGUAUUCGAACAAGAAUCCACUUAACUGAUGAUUAAGAUUAACAACUGACGAGGCAUUUCUAAUCAAUUUUUUUUAUGGUAAUAUGCAUGGAGUGCAUGUGCUAGAAUGGCAUUUAUGAUUUCUCACAUGGCAGUCUGCUGAUGAUAUAAGAUUGUACAAAUAAAAGGGCUGACAAGCAAAGCCACCUAGAGAAGAGAGGCUUACAUAAAACAAAAACAUCGUUAUUUUAGUGUUCCGAAUUUAUCACAUGUCGACAACAAUACGUGUUGUAACUUUACUAAUGAUCACUUGCUAUGUUUGGGAGACUAAAGUAAAAGUGUAUACAAGUCCUUAUUCAGCUAGCUAAUCACCAUUAGUGUUUGAGGUAAUAGCAUAGAAACUAUGUUGUCGAAUUCAUACCCUCAACAAUAAUCAAGUGAUCAAUUUACAAAAGCUAAGAUUAAAAGCGUACCAAAUUUGGGACGCUAGGAGCAAAGCGUACACAGUUUCAGAUAAGUUCUUACCCAACCAGCCAGCCACAGUAGGGUUUGAGCUACACGUGAAAUUGAAUUCAGAUGCUGCCAUGAAAGAGUACAGACAUGAAGAGAAGAGAAAGGCAGCCAGAUCGGUUAGGUUAGUAAUUGUAGUACUUUCUGCAAUAACAAGCAAAGAACCAAUAACAUGUGGCCGCAAUUGCAGCGGCAAAAUCAAUCAGAAAGAUACAACAAAAAAAUUUCACCGAUUUCUGAUGAUAAACAUUGCUUGUUGCUUUUUGAGCAUUAGUUACCCAAAAAAUGUAGGGUUUGUUACUUGCCCUUGCAAGAUAAGGCAUCUAAGGAUUUGCAAGGAAGAAAUCAUGAAGAGUUAAAUAGAUAUGAUGGUAUGUUAAGUACAGUCCAUCAAUCAUAUUGUACCUAAAAUUCAUGUGAGGGGUUCACAUUCA